ensembl:lncRNA
CAUAUUCACCUUGAAUGAGUCAGCCGAUGAUAAAGGAGUGGAACUUGGAGUUUAACCAUGCUUUGUUUCAAAGUCUUGCCCGCUACGAAAUACGUUUUCACAUGCAGGAGUUUGAGUCAGAAUCAUCUCCGUGCGUCACGAGCCUCCCUCUUUGCUUAUGCAAACCCCUGCUUAUGUUUUGGAUUGCCAAAAUAAAAAUAAGCACUUGGACUUUACAUUAUUUAACGCUGUCGCGACUCUAAACAAAACCUUAAAAUAGUACGUCAUUUUUUUGUUUAUGGUAUCUACUGUGCAGGGGUUCUGCUUCUAGUUUCCAGUUUGCUGCUGCAAGCAGCUGGAAUGACCUCACGCCUUCAUUCCCCGACCUUCAAUAACUCAUUACAAACGGACGUCGACAGGCAAGUGGCCAAAUGUCUUGGGGAACUGAGCACAGAUGAAGUCUGCCGCUGGUUUACCAAUAUCGGACUGCAGAAAUGUCUUCCUUUCAUCCGAGAUGUAAACCUGUGUGGAGCAGACGUAGCAUCGGUGGAUGUGAACACUCUGGACGUCCUGCACAUCACCACCCUGGAGGAGAGGGAGAAGCUGCUGUCUGCCGUUUAUAAGGAGCUGCACCCUUCCAGCCCAAUCACCGAGAGACUCGACUCUCUGCUCGAUUCGUUGGGCCCGAACAGUGUGGAGACAUUCACCGCGACAUUAGUGUCAAUGAGCAAAUCUAAGUCCUCUCCACAUGUGAGCUGCCUGAGCAUGAAUCGGCGUUCCCUAAAGCGCAGAAACACCAGCCAAACCCCCUUGGCACAGAGGAAUUCUCAGCUGAUCGAGAUAGCAAUUAAUGCAUCAGAGCGGAUAGUUCAUCUCCGAACCCCAAAGGAAACAACGGUGGGGAAAAUCAUGGAUUCAUGCAUCAAAAUGUUGGGAAUGACAGAAGACAGGAGCCUUUUCAUACUGAGAGAAAAGCAAGGUUCAUCGGAAGACCUCCCCCCAGAUCAGCUGAUCGCCAGCCUACUGACAUCGACAUCAGAGGACAGGCAGUUGGAGCUGCACUUGUGUAAAACGGACGGGUCAUCUGGAACCAUAGCAAAACAAAAUCCAGGAGUCCACAGCUCUAAUGAGAAUAACAACAUCAACAAAAAUGCCCUGGUGAACCGGCCAGCCAAAGAAGAGAGGAUCAAAGAACUAAACCAGCAGGUGGAAUCGCUCCAAAAUGUCAUCCUUCAGGUCCAGGAGCUCCACCACGGCCUGGUGGCAUUUUGCUCAGAGAUAAAGAACAUGGAUGGAGACGUGGAUGUGGACAGGCUUAGCUCCGCUGAGCUGAAGGAGAGGUCGCAGUUGGUUAAAAGCCGCCUGAAUGACAAGAGGCGGAGCCUGCAGACCCUCAGAGACAACAUUAACGACUCCACUGCUCACAAAAAGAAACAGUUGGACGUACGUCUCUUGGAAAAGAUGAAACUGAACUGCCAGGUGUUUAAGGAGGAAAUUUCCAUGGUACAUCUCAAUCGGCAGAUGGCACACCUCCAAAAUGCUUUGCAAGAAAGCUACGUUAAGGAGAAAGUUCAGAGAAAAAGUUUGGCCAUUGGUAGCCUGAGCCAGCUGGUGUCCCCGCAGUCUCCUGCCAUGCUGCUGGUUGUGCAGGAGAACCGAAACCCCGAUGGCCAGUACGGCUUCUCGUGUUGCUACAGGGAAGGCAGCGGACUACUGGUGGUCAAGGUGGAAAACUGCCAACUCUGUGUUGACGACAGGCUGGUGGAGGUGAAUGGUGUGCCGGUGGUUAACUCUACACAGGAAGAGCUGACCACCAUCUUACUGGAGGGACCCAGCGCCAAUAUUGUUGUCCUUCGCCAGCCCCCGCUCCCCCCCACCUCCGUAGUCCUGCAGCGCAUCAUCACCUCUGAUCCCGAGCAACAGCUCUCUCUUGCCGACUUAGACCGGGGUGUGGUUCCAGUUGAAACAACUCCUCGACGGAAGGUGGUGGCCAUCUGA